rnacentral:lncRNA from 1 species
UUGUCACUUGCAAGGUGCUCAAUCAUCUGCCGGUGCCAGAAUCCUGUGCGAUGUUGAGAUCCGGUUUUGGAUUUCUGACUCGCGGUUUGAAUUCCGAACUGUUCUGCAGGUUUCAUUUUCGUUUCAUCCCAUGGUCUCUGCCUCUCUGGUUGUCACGGCUGGGGCGGCACUUUUGGGUCACCGUUCUGCCGUACUUUUGCAGUACCAGGGUUACUGGACCUGCCGUCCUGCAUUGCGUUUGGUCUCUGGUGAUGGUGAGAGUCUUCCAGGAGCCGGCUGAUCUUUGUUGUUUUGAUAGAGCUUUGACCUCCUUAAUUUUCCAUGGAACUUGUAUUGUCGAAAGUGGUUAGGCUGUUGCCAGAAGGUUAGGAUUAAUUGAUGCACUUGUCUUCUAACCUAAGGUCAAAUCAUUCGAAAGGAGGAUGCAUAGUCUGGAUAAAUAGGAGUUCAGCUGCAUAUACUAUACUUGUUUU